rnacentral:rRNA from 1 species
CAUACCCGUUCCCAUUCCGAACACGGAAGUUAAGCCCUUCAGGGCCGAUGAUACUAUGAUUGUAAGGUCAUGGGAAAGUAGGUCGCUGCCGGAU